CCUACGGGUGGCAGCAGUCGAGAAUCAUUCACAAUGGGGGAAACCCUGAUGGUGCGACGCCGCGUGGGGGAAUGAAGGUCUUCGGAUUGUAAACCCCUGUCAUGUGGGAGCAAAUUAAAAAGAUAGUACCACAAGAGGAAGAGACGGCUAACUCUGUGCAAGCAGCCGCGGUAAUACAGAGGUCUCAAGCGGUGUUCGGAAUCAGUGGGCGUAACGCGUGCGUAGGCGGAUUCGUAAGUCGUGUGUGAAAGGGGCGGGCUCAACCCGAGGACGGCAGAUGAUACUGCGAGAAAAGAGUAAUGGAGGGGGAACCGGAAUUCUCGGGGUAGCAGUGAAAUGCGUAGAUAUCGAGAGGAACACUCGUGGCGAAGGCGGGUUCCUGGACAUUAACUGACGCUGAGGCACGAAGGCCAGGGGAGCGAAAGGGAUUAGAUACCCGUGUAGUC
rnacentral:rRNA from 1 species